GAAUAUGAUGAGAAUUAUUGUCGCCCCAGUCUUAUGAGCUUUGUAACUUUGCAUAGCUCUAUGGUGAUAGACAUAUUUAAUAAUCUGAUUC
rfam:Helianthus annuus linkage group 11, whole genome shotgun sequence.